UCCCUCUUAGCUCAGUGGUAGAACGCUUCACCAACAUCACCCGUUUCAUGUCUAAUAUGAAGAAAUCAGUCGUUCGAGUCGGCUGGAGAGAA